rnacentral:rRNA from 1 species
GAUGAACGCUAGCGGGAGGCCUAACACAUGCAAGUCGAACGGGAUUGAGAGCUUGCUCUCAUGAGAGUGGCGCACGGGUGAGUAACGCGUAUGCAACCUGCCUUUAACUGAGGGAUAGCCCAUAGAAAUGUGGAUUAAUACCUCAUAGUUCUGAGUUACCGCAUGGUGAUUCAGAUAAAGCUCCGGCGGUUAAAGAUGGGCAUGCGUGACAUUAGCUAGUUGGUGAGGUAACGGCUCACCAAGGCUACGAUGUCUAGGGGUUCUGAGAGGAUGAUCCCCCANACUGGUACUGAGACACGGACCAGACUCCUACGGGAGGCAGCAGUGAGGAAUAUUGGUCAAUGGGCGCAAGCCUGAACCAGCCAUCCCGCGUGCAGGAUGACGGCCCUAUGGGUUGUAAACUGCUUUUAUACACCAAGAAAAAUCUCCACGUGUGGGGACCCACGGUAGUGUAUGAAUAAGCAUCGGCUAACU